rnacentral:rRNA from 1 species
GACGAACGCUGGCGGCGUGCUUAACACAUGCAAGUCGAACGGAAAGGCCCUGCUUUUGCGGGGUUCUCGAGUGGCGAACGGGUGAGUAACACAUGAGUAACCCGCACUUAACAUUGGGAUAACUUCAGGAAACACGGGCUCAAAUCGCAUAGAAGAUCUUGCUGCAUGGUGGUGGUUGGAAAAUUUCGGCGGUUCUGGAGGUUCUAGCGGCUUAUCAGCUUGUUGGUGGGGUAGUGGCAUACCAAGGUUUUGACGGGUAGCCGGCCUGAGAGGGUUACCGGCCACAUUGGGACUGAGAUACGGCCCAGACGCCUACGGUAGGCAGAAGUGGGGAAUAUUGCAGAAUGAGCGGAAGCCUGUUGCGGCAACGCCGCGUGCGUGAUGACGUCCUUCGGGUUGUGAACCGCUUUCGCCUGUGACGAAGCGUGAGUGACGGUAAUUGGUAAGGAAGCACCGGCUAACUACGUG